rnacentral:rRNA from 1 species
GGCGUCCGAGUUGUAAUUUGUAGAGGAUGCUAUUGGGUUGCCACCGGUCUAAGUUCCUUGGAACAGGACGUCACAGAGGGUGAGAAUCCCGUAUGUGACCGGCCAGGCGCCUUCUGUAUAGCUCCUUCGACGAGUCGGGUUGUUUGGGAAUGCAGCCCUAAAUGGGAGGUAAAUUUCUUCUAAAGCUAAAUACCGGCCAGAGACCGAUAGCGCACAAGUAGAGUGAUCGAAAGAUGAAAAGCACUUUGGAAAGAGAGUUAAAAAGCACGUGAAAUUGUUGAAAGGGAAGCGCUUGCAAUCAGUCUCGACGGCGGCUGUUCGGCCUCUCUUCUGAGUGGUUUAUUCAGUCGCCGCCGGGCCAGCAUCAGUUUUGGCGGUCGGAUAAAGGCGUGGGGAAUGUAGCUCCUCCGGGAGUGUUAUAGCCCCGCGUGCAAUACGGCCCGCCGGGACUGAGGUCCGCGCUUCGGCUAGGAUGCUGGCGAAAUGGUUGUAAGCGGCCCGUCUUGAAACACGGACCAAGGAGUCUAACAUCUACGCGAGUGUUUGGGUGUCAAACCCGUGCGCGCAAUGAAAGUGAACGGAGGUGGGAACCGCAAGGUGCACCAUCGACCGAUCCUGAUGUCUUCGGAUGGAUUUGAGUAAGAGCGUAGCUGUUGGGACCCGAAAGAUGGUGAWCUAUGCCUGAAUAGGGUGAAGCCAGAGGAAACUCUGGUGGAGGCUCGCAGCGGUUCUGACG